rnacentral:tRNA from 1 species
GAUUCCUAGAAGAGUGCUUCCUUCCACUUACAUUGGUGGUGCUGACCCCGCCAACAUUCUC